rnacentral:rRNA from 1 species
UACGUAGGGUGCAAGCGUUAAUCGGAAUUACUGGGCGUAAAGCGCACGUAGGCGGAUUGUUAAGUCGGGGGUGAAAUCCUGAGGCUCAACCCUCAGAACUGCCUUCGAUACUGGCAAUCUCGAGUCCGGAAGAGGUUGGUGGAACAGCUAGUGUAGAGGUGAAAUUCGUAGAUAUUAGCUAGAACACCAGUGGCGAAGGCGGCCAACUGGUCCGGUACUGACGCUGAGGUGCGAAAGCGUGGGGAGCAAACAGGG